UCCGUAGGCGGUGUGGCAAGUCGGUAGUGAAAUCUCUCGGCUUAACUGAGAGGCUGCUGCCGAAACUGCCAUGCUCGAGUGCGAGAGAGGCGAGUGGAAUUGCGGGUGUAGCGGUGAAAUGCGUAGAUAUCCGCAGGAACAUCCGAGGCGAAAGCGGCUCGCUGGAUCGCAACUGACGCUGAGGGACGAAAGCUAGGGGAGCAAACAGGAUUAAAUACCCUGGUAGUCCUAGCCCUAAACCAUCAGGACUUGGGGUUUGCCCUGUACGGGGCAAGUCCCGGAGCUAACGCGUUAAGUCCUGCGCCUGGGGAGUACGGUCGCAAGGCUGAA
rnacentral:rRNA from 1 species